GUUUAAAUAUUAUAAAUAUUUAAAAAUAUAUUAAUACAGGACGGUAGACUACGGGUGAAAUCGUAGAUAUAACAAUCAAAAUACAAUUAUAAAGUUUGGAUCGAUAUUAAAAGUGUUUUGAAGUUUCAAAUAUUACAAAUAUUUGAACUUUAUAAGAAAACAAGAAAAUGAUAUUUAAUUUUACGAGACGGGGUUAUAUGAGUGGACGGGUUUGAGUCAAUAUUAAUACGGAAUGGUAUAUACUAUGGGUGAAAUCUUAGAAUUAACAAUCGAAAUAC
rnacentral:sRNA from 1 species